UGGAAUUAGACUCCUGGGAUCCCGGCUAGC
rnacentral:piRNA from 1 species